UGGGGAAUAUUGCACAAUGGGCGCAAGCCUGAUGCAGCCAUGCCGCGUGUAUGAAGAAGGCCUUCGGGUUGUAAAGUACUUUCAGCGAGGAGGAAGGCGUUGUGGUUAAUAACCGCAGCGAUUGACGUUACUCGCAGAAGAAGCACCGGCUAACUCCGUGCCAGCAGCCGCGGUAAUACGGAGGGUGCAAGCGUUAAUCGGAAUUACUGGGCGUAAAGCGCACGCAGGCGGUCUGUCAAGUCGGAUGUGAAAUCCCCGGGCUCAACCUGGGAACGGCAUCCGAAACUGGCAGGCUAGAGUCUUGUAGAGGGGGGUAGAAUUCCAGGUGUAGCGGUGAAAUGCGUAGAGAUCUGGAGGAAUACCGGUGGCGAAGGCGGCCCCCUGGACAAAGACUUACGCUCAGGUGCGAAAGAGUGGGGAGCAAACA
rnacentral:rRNA from 1 species